rnacentral:lncRNA from 1 species
GGGUGGCAGCCGCACGCCCCCGAUGUCCGACUCGGGAGGAGCCGCGCCGCCGCCGCCGCGUGCAGAGGACGCGAGGCACACGGCGGCUCGUACCUGAUAUGUUUGUAACAUGUUUCUUUACAUUUGUAUUCAAAAUAGAAAAAAUAAUACACGCAUGACUAGUACCUUUGCAUGUCUUUCAUACAAGCAUCAGAAACCAACUAAUACGAGGCGGGCGAUGGAGCCGCCGUCGGCUACUCGAGCUCGGCGGCGCGGACGAACCCUAGCCAGUCGGCGGCGCCCCCGAGCACUACCGGCGCCGCCGCGGCACCGGGCUGCAGCGAGAGCAUCUCCGCCUCCCUAGGGAGCCGCCGGUCGGCCGGCCAGAUCGCCGAGCGAGGGAGAGGAGGGGAAUUGCUUCCAGCGCCUUCGAGAGGUUGGGG